ensembl:lncRNA
AUCGAUUCCACUGGGGCAGCUCCACUCUGGAAGUAGUGAGGCAUGCUCCACUGACAGCAGCUAAGGGGAAAGAUUUACAGAGAAAAGGCUGAAGACAAGCAAGGAAAUUGUUUGAAUGGCUAUAGCUUAAGCAUCUGCCUUGUUUGGGGAAGCCUAGUUGACUGUUUAUUAAUGGAUUGUCCUCGGGUUUUUAUUUCCUAACCUUGAGGAAAUGGCAACCCACUCCAGUGUUCUUGCCUGGAGAAUCCCAGGAAUNNNNNNNNNNNNNNNNNNNNNNNNNNNGGGGUCGCACAGAGUCAGACACGACUGAAGCGACUUAGCAGUAGCAGAGACAUUUGUAGGUCUAAGUUUUGGUUUGCUUACAAAGACUGCUAAGGUCUUAAGACCAUCCCAGUCUAAUGUCCUCCUUGUUUAGUUAAUUUAAUAGAAAGAAAAGCCAAAAUAUAACUCAGGGACCCAUAAAUUUCCUUUGGAGUACAGAUAUUUUCAGUGCCCAGUGAGAAUGACUCAGUUGUGUCCAGCUCUUUGCGAACCCAUGGACUAUGAAAUCCAUAGAAUUCCCCAGGCCAGAAUACCGGAGUGGGUAGUCUUUCCCUCCUCCAGGGGAUCCUCCCAACCGAGGGAUUGAACCCAGGUCUCCUGCUUUGCAGGUGGAUUCUUUACCAUCUGAGCCACAAGAGAAGACCAAGAAGAUUUUUUUUUUAAGCCCAAACAACUGAGUCUGAUAGAAUGUCACCUCCUCAGUUCGCGAAAACAGAAACACAUUCAAACACAUCCAAAGAUGGGGUCCCAGGGGGCUCCUCUGGAUCACAGUGAGAUCUUCAGCACAUAGUAGGCAUCCAACACGGAUUUGUCAAGUAAAUAAACCCAUAUGCAGAGCAAGUAUCACAUCACCACCCACCCCUGACCUUUGUAACCAAAGAGGGGAAAGUGCCCCAGAAUCCAUCCCAAGUGCAUCAUUCCCUGGGAGUGAGAGCAGCUAGACUGCAGUUCUUUGUCUGCACUCAGAGUUGGCACAGCGGCCACAGUCAGAAGCCAAGCCAAUUCAAUCACAGAACUGCACCUCAGCCAAGAACUGCUUAACCAAGUGGAGCCUAUUUCCCGUCAACUACAAACACAGGUGUCUACAGAGGACAAACCCGAAGAACAGGCACCAAACCACACCCCAUUCAUUCCAUCAGGAACGGAAAGGCACUCAGAGAAGGCUACUUUCAACUAAAGGAGUGGCUGAGAUUUGGGGAAAUAACUGUUUUGAGGGUUUCACAUUUAUUACAUACUCUUAGUAUGGUCUCCUGGUAAGAUGGCAUUUAAGCACCUGUUUCAAUCUUCUCUACUUAAAUGAGUAAGCCUUGGCGAGANNNNNNNNNNNNNNNNNNNNNNNNNNNNNNNNNNNNNNNNNNNNNNNNNNNNNNNNNNNNNNNNNNNNNNNNNNNNNNNNNNNNNNNNNNNNNNNNNNNCAAUCUUCUCUACUUAAAUGAGUAAGCCUUGGCGAGAGAGGCUGGCCAUUUCCACAGUGGUCGUCUCCAGGGGUAGGUAAGACAAGUAAAUCACACCCAAAGACAGACUAAAAGCUGCGUGAAGACAUGAGGCCUCUGUCCCCUUGAACUUCUUUUUCGAGGUGAGGAGAGAGCUGAAAAGGCUCUCACUGAGGAAUAGCUCUGGGCUUCCUCCUUGACAUCUGCUCCUCCGAGCUACUUAAGCAAUUAAUCUGAUCUGCCAAAUGGGUCUCAAAUGAGUCAUUCCAAAGGAGACACUCCCCAAAUAAACCAGCUCAAUAGUCCUAAUACUUGAACUUAGUGAAACUUAGCAAGACAUGAGAUACAACCCUAGGUAAAGGAAAGUAGCCAUCAUGAAGGUAUUUUGGUCAUUCUGGCCAUUAUUCUGGUUGCUUUUCUGACCAUCUGUUUUAAGUUCUUUCUCCAGAACUUACUUCACAGUUAUGGAGAACUAUUUUAAGGCAGAGAUACCUCAAAGACUAUUAUUUGCUUUGAUACUAUGUGGGAGUGGGUUUCUUUUGUCAAAACAAACAGCUUUUUAUUGAUUUAUAUAUUUGAUUUAUAUCUGAUUUUAGAGUUGAUUUACAACAUUGUGUUAGUUUUAGGUGUACAGUAAAGUGAUUCCAUUGUAAGUAUAUAUAUAUCUUUUUUUUUGCAGGUUCUUUUCCCUAAUAGGUUAGUACAAAACAUUAAGUAUAGUUCUCUACUGUAUGGGAGGUUCUUGUCGGCUGUCUAUUUUAUAUACGGUAGUGUGUAUGUGUUAAUCCCAAAUUCUUAACUUUUCCCUCCCCACAUCUUCCCCUUUGNNNNNNNUAAGUUAGUUUUCUAUGAGUCUGUUUCUGUUUUAUAAAUAUUAAUAAGUUGAUAUGUAACAUUUUUAUAUGAUAAGUGAUAUCAUAUGAUAUUUGUCUUUGUCUGACUUACUUAGCACGAUAAUCUUUAGGUCCAACAGUGUUGCUGCAAAUGACAUUAUUUCACCUCUCUGACCGAGUAAUUUUCCAUUGUAUAUAUGUACCAUGUCUUCUUUAUCUGUUCCUUCGUUGAUGGACAUUUAAGUUGCUUCCAUGUCUUAGCUAUUGUAAACAGCACUCUAAUGAACUUUGGGGUACAUGUAUCUUUUUGAAUUAUGAUUUUCUCCAGAUGUAUGCCAAGAAGUAGGAUUUG